rnacentral:rRNA from 1 species
AAAACUUUCAACAACGGAUCUCUUGGUUCUGGCAUCGAUGAAGAACGCAGCAAAAUGCGAUAAGUAAUGUGAAUUGCAGAAUUCAGUGAAUCAUCGAAUCUUUGAACGCACAUUGCGCCCGCCAGUAUUCUGGCGGGCAUGCCUGUUCGAGCGUCAUUUCAACCCUCAAGCCCCCG